CAUAGGGGGUUACACGCCUUACGACAUAAAAAGCGGGCUUAGGGUGGACUGAGAUUGACCUUUUCUCACAGCACUGAACCCUUCUCAAACCUGAGGCCAUAAAGGAUGAGGAAAAUUUUCAUCCCAACGCCCAGCCUGUGGGGGAGCCGAUGAGUCGGAGAAGCCUUGCUACGAAUCAGCAGUUGAGACCAAAGAUGUCCAGUCAGAGCAUAAAGACAGAUUGUUGGCCAGCUGUGCAAGUCUGGGUCCUGAAGGAAAAAUGGUCAAUAAGAAAUUUGAUUUGCUUCAAUCAGCCGUAAUUUUCCGAUGGGUUUUUUCUACAAACCUGCGGGAGGACAUAAGCUGCAUUACCUCUUCUCUUUCGCUCUGCCUUGCUCCUGCUGAAGUAUAUACAGUAUGUACAUGUAAAACAGAGACAGUUUUAUGUGUAUGUACAGAAAUUCACGUAUGGUUUGUAAAACCUUUGGUCCAUGUUGUGAUGCAGGUAUAAAUCUCUCAAGUAUGGACACUAAGCCAGCACUGCAGCACUAUCCGUCCUUGCGUCAUUAUCUAAUCACAUCGGUAACUAAGAGAUUCAUGGAGGAGAUGGUCUUUAUUGCUGAAGCGUGUGUCCUACAGCGAAAAGCGAGUUUUAAAACCGAGCAAGGCGGUACAUUGAAUGACGGACUAGAGGACGGAAAUGCAUCAGCCUUGGUGCUCAAAAGCCAUUUCUUUUUGCACUCCAGUGCUUUCAGCCGUCCACCUUGUUGUGCUCUGCUCCCACAGCUCCCCACUCGCUCGCUCAAUCAGAUGGUACGACCCAAUGAAUGUCCGAUGAUCUCCGAUGAGGCCUUUAACAUGGACUCUGUACUGACGACGGUGAUGAUGCUCAUCCUGUGGACAGGGACAGAUAAGCACAUGUGGACAUGUGCCCAAUUAUCUGCUGUUUUCUUUCCUUAACAGAGCAGUUCUCUUCAGUAUUACAUCUUUAUUCAGCGUGUCAUCAGACAAACUGACCUGGCUGUCUCAUGGACUCGAGUGAUUUUUAAUGAUGAUGUUACCAAAUACUUCACCCGGUUUGGUUUGUUUUGUCACAGGAAUAAGUAAAUGGACAGAAAAAUGUUUUCACCUGAGAAUACUGAAUCCAGGAAGCUUUAGAACCAAGUUUAAAGGAUAAGGCUAGAAGACUGUAUAUAAAAGAUGGACGUAGGCAUGCGUGACGUCACCCAUUGGUUUGUGAAGUAUUGUUAAGCCUUGAGCUAACAGUUUAGAGGUCACUGGGGGUGGAUCUGACUUAGAAACACCGCAUGCUCAUCUGGUAGCUACUUGUCAAUCGCAAGGAAGACACCCUAAAUAAUGCUCUGCUUUGUUCUCUUAUUUGACAGUCAAUAGUCAAUAUCAUGCUGUAUUUAAACACUUGGAGCUAGCAAUCAAGACAAACUAAUUAGGAAAACGCUUACAGAGGUCAUAGAUAACUGGAGCCUAGUGGGUGUCCUUCCAGAUUUCCUCUUCCAGAAAAAUCAAACUUGUUUUAGCAAUCAGAGGAGUCGCCCCCUGCUGGCUUUCAAAUGCAUGUUUAAGGCACUUAAACUGCAUUGGCUUCUAUUUUCAGACUUGUGCAGCUAAGCUAUGUCCAUAUUUUAUAUAGAGUCGUAUUAUUAUAACUGUCAACUGAUCUCAUGAAAAGAGCAAAAUUAACAUUUAAAGUAAUGCCUGCAAUAUUCUCUCCACUUGCAUCUUGUGAAAACAAACUGAAUUUGUGCGUGAAGUUAUUUAAAACAUAUUUGGUAUGCUAUGCAGAUCAGUAUUUACUUCACUGCGAUGUUGUAUGUAUUAAGUGGACUCAAAAUGAACUGGAGUCUAUGGACUUUUUUCUGAAUAACUAGCCUCAGGUUCUAUUUAAAUCCUGCAUAUUAAUAAAUGUAUUCAUUUUAAACUGCUGUCAGAAAUUAAUUAAUCUGGACACUUUCCAUUACAAAAAUAUUAAUAAAUGGAUAGUUGAACUUAAAAAGAUUACUUAAACAGAAAUGUGUUGUCAAAUUCCAGCCAAUCAGAGCCCUUCUACAACUCAGUGGGCAGAUUUUCAGUUUUUAGGAAACUAUAAAUGUUUAAGCGGGAGUCAGAUAUUGUUGGCAGUCCCAGCAAUAAAUGUAAUUACAAAAGUCCAACUUAAAAGAUUAAACAAUAUUUCUAUUUUUUUUUUUAAGUCAGGAGGAGAGAAACAGUUAGUUAGGACUAAUAUUUCAUCAUGGAGUAACACAUGCAAAUGAAACAAUUUAUUAAACAAGUUAGACUUGUUUCACUCUAUUACAUUAUUUUAAUUCGACGCUCAGUAAGUGCCCAUGAUGACUAUAUAUAUGGAAUAACUGCCUCCCUAAUUGUUGCUUUUGAACAACAUCAGAAUUUAGUCCACUGGAAAUUUGGUCUUUUCAUGCGAUUUUGUUGACAGUAAAAAUAUUAGCACUAGCCUUAUCCUUUGAAUUUCAUUCCUGUUUAAAGAGUAAAUGGCACUAUGAUUCUGAGCCUGUGGAAUGAAGGGGAAAAACCUGCACUGGUCUUCUCUGGCGUUUUGUUUUGUUUGUUUUUUUAAUCUUUGUUAAUGUACUGUACUGCUGCAACCAUUAUCUUCACACACCCCUGCUAAAACCUAUAGGUGUCAUUCCAUAUGAUUCCAUUUGAAUGCACUGCCAUUCUACACCCACGUCACCCCCCUCUUUCUACUGUUCAUUGUGCAUGAAUGUGCCAUUAGAGAACGCGAGGGGCUUGGAGAGGCACAGACCAGAGAUGAGGGGCGUAGCUACGAGGUGCCCGAGUGGAUCCAUCUUUACAAAGUACAGCAUUCUCAUUCGCUUUUCAUUUGACACGAGGUGGCCGUGUCUGUGACACAAAUGGCUUCAGAGACAAAACUGUGGAUUGUUUUUGUUGCCAUGCUAAACAUUAUGCUGUUUUUUAUAGUAAAAUAAACUGCUGAGAGGUUUCACAGGUA
rnacentral:lncRNA from 1 species